UCUAUGUUCAUCAUGAGCUGCAGGAAGAGCAGGUCCCUAGAAAGAUCUCAGUCUGUUCUUCAAUAAGGAAUAAAGUCAUGUCUGUGGGAUGUAGGGAGAGUCCAAAGGAGAAGGAAGAGCUGAGAUUCAGGGGCUUGGUGCAUUCAAGACAGGCUAGAAAGACAGGACAGAGAAGGGAGGCUCCAUCACCACCA